ensembl:lncRNA
AUUAACAACUUUAUUUGCAUGUUUUCAUUUUUUUGCUUUGUUGCUAAAAAUAAGUGUUGGAGCCAAAUUCAUUUUUUGCUUUGUGAAUCUGCAUUAUCAUUCAUACACAAUAUCCGCUUUUGUUUGCUGAAAUCAGUGUGUGAGUAGCACUUCUCAUUAUUGCUGUUACAGGAAUAUUUCCGUAUUCCUCUAUCUCACUUGAGAUCAGUGCUCAGUGCAGCAGACAGCAUAAUCGUGAGGGAGAUCCUGCUGUACUAUAACAGGAACUAUGCCACUUUGCAGCUAACAGAUGAUUACCUGCAUACCAUGGUGUCUGUGCUCUUCCAAAUUCACUUGCCCAGGGAUAUUAGCCUGUUUCCUGACAUGGGUCUUUUGUUGGCUCUAGCUACACCUUCAGACAUCUUGUCUAUUCCUCCGCUACAAAAUAAUAUCAAUGCGUGAGUGUCACACAUAUAUACUUGUUUAAAAAGCUUAAACAGAGCCAUCUAUUAAUCACACCAUUCACUUCUUGUUUAUUAUUUAUAUUAUUAUAAUAUUAUAAUUAUUAUAUAUAAUAUGAUAAUAUAAAUAGUAUUACUAUUUAUAUGCUACCAUAGUAUUUAUUUUUACAAUUUUGAAUUAACUUUUAUAUUUAAAUUUUUAGUUUAGUCAUUUUUCCUAGAUAUUUCUAUUUAGCUUUAAUUUUUUUUUUUUGAAUCUAAAAUUCAACUUUUUUAUUUCACUUAGCUCCCAAGGCAACAGUUCUCAUUUGGCGAGUUUUUU